GUAAAACCUUGGGGGUGAAAGACACCCGUCCGAUGAGGUCACCAUGAGCGUUGUGAGGUCAUGAGUGGAGAGGAGAGGGCGGCUUUAGCUAAGUCUGUUAAAUAUAUCUGUUCCCCGUCAUGUCUCUCAAGGUUAGGGCAGUAUGGUGUGCCCCAUGGCCCCUUUGUGUAUGGACGGGGAAUGGGUUCGGGUGGUUGCGGUAUUUCACCGUGAAUUCCCCUUCUGGAACUGGGCCCGCUCCCUUGUUGGCUCCUGACUGUGGCCACCGACUUUCACCAAUGUGUGUGGUGCUCUGUGAGUCAUGAGUUGUCAUGCAGUCAUAGAAACGGCUAUGUGUGGACAUAUCUAG